AGUGAAAGUACGGAAGCGAGUAGGCUGGAAUUUCCACAGUUCAUUCGGUCAGAUGUAUUUUUGCUGUCGUGAAGCUUGUUCUCUUCACAGGCACUAAAAGCGUUGAUCGCCACAUGAGCAACAAGUUUAACUGUACCUUCGUUGUCCUACAAGCCGACCAACGACAUGCUUUAGGUAAACAAUGAUGGCCUCAUCUGGUAUCCUGUUGUGGUUGCUGUUAGCGAUCUAUGUCAGAGGACAAACUGCAGUGACCGAUUUUGUGACAGUGGCAUGUAAGCCAUACAACGUGGGACAAUACGGUCAGCAAUCUAUGCUGGACUGUGGGAUCACAACCUCGAAAGAAGUUAAAGAUGUAACUGUCCAGGUGGUUGUUUGGAAGAAAGCUGGAGACCCUGUGCUGACGUUUAACAAUGAGAAAAUAAAUGUGACACCGAGAUUUUCCUUUGCCAUGCCGUCAUGGACUCACAAGAACCUGAACGUGUCCCUGCUCAUUGCUAACACUUCAGUGGCUGACGACGGACAAUAUACAUGUAUGGUGAUGACUGAUAGCGGUGCACACAGAAGCUCAACCAACCUUAAAGUCACAGCCAAAUACAGCAGACCCAUCAUCUACUCCACCCCCAUGGAGGUUACCCCAAACUCACAAGUCACCCUGACAUGCAGCUCAGAUGGCGGCUACCCAAAGGGCACACUGGGCUGGUUUGUUGGACCCAAGAGGCAGGAAAAAAGCACAGAAACCAAUGCCAAGGUGACAGAAAAUGGACUGUUCAACCUCUCCAGCACGCUGACUUUGUCACCAGGGUGGGAAUCCUCUGAGUACACUUGCGUGGUGUUCAACGCCACUGAUGGCAAAGACGACGAGGACACACUGGCACUGAUGUCCCAGAUCAAGAGUCAAGGGCAGGGACAAGAUCAACCAGGCACUAAUAUAGCCACCAAAAUAGUGGCACCUGUGGUGGUUAUUGGUGCACUCAUCAUUGGACUGCUGCUGUGGAUGAUGAUCAGCAAGGGCUCUUUUAAAUGCAGGGGGGUCCACAGAAUGGUUGCCCAAGAUGAAGAAGAUGCUGAGAAAGCGGAUCCAGAUGACCAGCUUUCACUUGACCCACAAUGCAAAGACGAACCCUAAAGGAGUUAGGAGAUUUUGUGUACCACGUGGCUUACACUGACCUAUCAACAGGAAUCAGCAUUUCCAUGCCAGGGAAUCAUUUGUAUUAUGGUGUUUUUUAGUCCUUUUGUCAUCCAUGGCUGCUGGUUUUUCUUUUGCUUCUUGGGCUUUUCUUGCCAGGGACAGUUCUUAUCGUAGAGCUCCAUAUAAGUACCAAGGAAGCUGUCAUAUGCCUCGUCCACAUCUGUUGCACUGUAGACCCUCUCCCAACUUUGUUCUUCUAGACCUAUCUUGAAGGCACGGAUGUUAUCCUCUGUACGCAAUCUUUGAAAAGUCUUUUUUGCCUCCGCCUGUUUUUUCUUAUAAUGUUCAUUGUAGAUUGUAAACACUGGAAGAUGAUCACUGAUGUCACUAAUUAGCAGGCCACUGAUGGUGUUGUUAUCAAAGUCAUUGGUGAAUAUAUUAUCGAUGAGGGUGGCACAGUGGUCUGUUAUUCUACUUGGUCUAAUGAUUUUAGGAUAUAAACUCAAGCUAUACAUUGUAUCUAUAAAGUCAUCUAUUUCCUUGCACUUGUGUGAGUUCAAGAGGUCAAUAUUGAAGUCUCCACAUAUGAAAAUAGUUUUCUGACCUAUGUCUGUAAACGUUGUCUUAAUCCAAUCCUCAAACAUUCCAAUCUUUGACUUUGGAGUUCUGUACACACAACUUAUUAACACAUUUUUGCUUUUUUCUUUACAGAUUUCAAUUGUUAUACAUUUUAAAAUGUUAUCAAUGACAAAUGACAUAUUCUUUACCAUUUUGUAGUUCAAAUGUUUGUCCACGUAUACGGCCACACCUCCUCCAUUUGCAUUGUUCCUGUUUGCACACGUCAUUUCAUAUCCUUCCAGCUCGAAGUCCAUUCCUUUGUUAGCAUUAAUCCAAGUUUCUGAGAUUGCUAUAACUUUGAAAGGUUCUUUGAAUUGAUUCAAAUAUUGUUUAAUAUUAGUAAAGUUUGCGUUCAAGCUUCUGCUGUUUAUGUGUAUGAUGGAUAACUUGUCGUCGUUGAUGAAACUGUUGUUGUAUUGCUCCUCCGUAUAAUAACGGCAGUCGUUUGUAAUGUGAGAGAAAAAAUUUGAGUCUGGAUCAAUGUCUUUUUCCAUAUCCAAUUGUUUGUGAUCUGUAAAGUGAAAAGUGUCCAAUUGUAGAUCUUCUUGUAGCAUAUUAAAGCUGUUUUCCUCCAUGUUGGGAGACCUCAAUAUCUUUCUAGGUCCUUGAUGUCUUUGACAGCAAGAACUCUGGCCUCUGGUCCUCCAUUUGCUUUGAUGAAGAUUUUGCAGUUUGCAGUCCAUGUUCCUUGAAUCUUUCCUUGCUUCCUCAGAUCACGUGCUUUCUUCGCAAUCUCAGCGUUGCGCUUGGUCAGGUGGUCAUUCAUGUAGACAUUUGUUCCUUUCAGCUUCUUUCCCUGUUUCAGCAGAGCAACCUUGUUUUUCCUGUUGGUGAAUUUGACGAUGAUGACGGGUGUAGUGCGGUUCCUCCCAUACAGUGGGAUGCAAGUAUCAAUAGAUUGGAUGUCUACAUCCACCUCCUUCGAUUGCAAAAAAUCAACAACUUGUUGCUCUGUUGAGGCGACAUCCCUUUCGUCUGGUUCUUCAGUAUUCGCCACUGCUCUGGCAUAGGACCUUGGUUUAAUUCGAAGUCCCGUCACGACCACGUCAUUCAUUCGUGUGUUCUGAUCCAUAUCAUCUAUGGUGUUUUUCAGCUUCUCAAUGAUUUUAUCCUUUUCUUCACAUUCUUUUUUGAGAGUGGCUCCCAGUGCAUCAUAACUUUCCUGUAAUUUUUUAUUCUCCACUCUCAGACCUUGCAUUUCUCUUUGUAUGGCGUUGGUAGUCUCUAUCAAACUGUAAAUUAGUUGAUGCAUGGAGUUGGAAUUCUCCACAAGUUGCUGCAUCUGUUUUCCAUAAUCCUCCAUGGUUUUCGCCAUGGUAUACUCACUCUUUUCCAUUGAACUUCUUUCUUGCUUGUUUGCGCGGUGUUUAACCUUCUGCAAAGCUGUCGCUGUUGCUUUGUCUAUAUUUCCACUCAGGUGUGUCAACUGGUUAACUGUGUCAUCCUUGUAAGGUCUCGGCGGCGGUUGUGGUAAUAGGUGAGCACCUCCAGUUGUCUCAGGAAUCUGUUCGACAUCCGUAUAUAUGACUGAAUCUGGAGUACUUCGACCAGAACUACUAGAGCCACCGCUUGUUGCGCUUCUUCUCCCUCGAGCCUUUGACAUUGUUACUGUUGCUAGGUAACGCCGUCAGUUAGCCGUUGACUUGUGGUGCAAUGCCUUCGGUGAAUAAUCUUCGUUAUAACGGCGAGUUUAUCUCUCACCAGUAUCUCACCAAAGUCCCACCAGUCCUGGUGGGCCGAAAAAGCUGCACAGGAAAACUCCAAAUGUUAUCCUGUUAUUGAAAUCAGGCUUCAAACCGCGGCUAGCAUGAUAGCUUGCUUGUAACGGCUGUCGGCUCCACCUGAUUGUCUCUUUUGGUGAGUUUAGUCCACUCGCGGGUCCGAGUUGAGGCAGAAGUCUCAGCACUCACUUGCAGAGUUGUAAUCACAAGUUGUGAUCACGAACUGUAUUCACCAAGGUCGCAAAAGUUUAAAACUCCGGUAAUAGUGGACGGAGCUUUUCCGUGAGCGUCCUUUCCGUACAACAGGAAGUGAAAGAAGAGUAGGAGUAAGUCCUCAUGUCCACCACAGAGGACGUUAGAAAACUGUGGUGUUUUCAGUUUCUUAAAAAUAACUACAGUGGAACUUCGGUUAGCAUCCGCCCCGCCUAGCAUGUUUUUCGGUUAACGUCGAAAAUUUCACCCUAAUUUUCUGGUUAACGGACAAUACGGUGCGCGUCCUGUGGAGUUAUUAACACACUGCAUGAGUCCCAACUGUGUUCUUAAUGCAUUUUUUUUUUAUCACUAAAUGUCCUGUUAGCAUCCUUAGCUUGCUCACAAAAUGGCAACCGAAACCGUAAGUCAGCUACGUCGCCAUGAUGUCAUCAGUGGUUGACUCUCAAAAAUGUUAACACAAAACAUGUUUUUAUUAGGGCUGUCAAAUUAUAAAAAAUUGUAAUCAAAUUAAUCACAAUUUUCACAUUAAUUAAUCAUAAUUAAUCACCAUUUGCAACUAUGUGUGAAAUAUGCACCCGUUUUUACUGUAUUUUAUGAACAAAAAGAUAAAUGACAAGACACCGUUUUAAUAUUUGUAUGACUCAACAGCUUAAAAUGGGCUGGCAACCAGUCCAAGGUGUACCCCGCCUCUCGCCGGAAGUCAGCAGGGAUAGGCUCCAGCAUACCCCCGCGACCCUAAUGACGAUAAACGGCAUAGAAAAUGGAUGGAUGGAUGGAUGGAACAGCUCCAAAUGAAGUGAAACUUUAUAUCAGGCUGAAAGAUACCACACAUGUCUUAAAAUCUAUUUGCCUAAUAGUUUCUUUAACAGUAGCAGAUCAUUUGAAUCCCGCUUUAACCGUGUUAUUAUGAGCAAUGAGGGGUUGCGUUCAAAGACACCAGGUAUUUUAAGAUGAAUUCACAUGUUUUGAGUGUACCCUACAUGUAUUUUCUGGGAUUUCCGAACAUAAUUAAAUGCAGCAAAUUGUACUUCCACAGUAAGAGUUACGUUAGUGAGUGAUGAGACUGUCUAUUUACUGUUUGUCUUUCUGUUUAUUUAAACAACACAUACACGCAUAAUAAAAAUGUUGUUUUGAUGUUCGUAGUGUUCAUCAAUGCAUCUCGUGGUCGUCUAGUAACAAUGAGGAAGUGUUGUUCCGAUGCUGAGCCAUUGCGUUAAUUACGCUAAAACGUUCAACAUAAUGAAAUUGAUUAGUUACCGCCAUUAAUGUGCUAUUUUUGACAGCCUUAGUUUUUGUAAUUCUACAUGCAUAAAACAAUUCAAAAUGCAUGUAUGUCGAAUGAAAGAGAUAAAUUAAAAUUAAGCUUAUUUUUACUUUCACUAAAGACGUGAUUGUUGACGUGACUGUUCCCAAAGACACGGCAGCGAGACACCACACGGGCACCACCUUCUUAUUUUGCAAGUUAUUUGUUGAAAUCAAUGUUUCUCACCUCAGUAACCCAAAAUGGAGCUAAAGAAAGCUGCAAGUUCCAGCCUUUUGAUGAAGAAGGUGAUAAACACUAUUGAAUUCAACAAAAAUAACUCAUGACACAACUUUAUUUGGCUCCAUUUUGAGUUGCGGAGGUGAGAAACACUACUGAAUUCAACAAAUAACUCAUGGCAAAACAGGAAGGUGGUGUUGAAGAGGAAGGUGUUGCUCUCGCUGUCACAUCGUGUCAUUGGGAACAAUCAAGUUAAGAAUCACCUCUUCAAUGAAGGUAAAAGUAACCUUAAAUAUUUGUUUAUCCCUCUCAUUUAUCAUUUAUAUGUAUAAGCAUUUUGAUUUGUUUUCUGCAUGUAAAACUGUAAUUGUAAAACUUUAAAAACGUGUUUUGUGUCAACAUUUUUGGCUUUCUGGAACUGAUUAAUUGGAUUUACAUCAUUUCUCAUGGGAAAAAAUGGUUUGUGUUAGUGUUUGUUUCGGUUAGCGUCGAACCUUCUAGAACGGCGCUAACCAAAAAACCUUUAAAAACAAAGACCUGUGUGUCAAAACAAGGAAAUGAGUGCCGUCUACAUGGCUGGAUGCCUACUUCAUACACCACAUUGUGAAUGACAGAUUAAACAUGUGAAAUGUAUGCAGUUAAUCGCUUUAAUGUCUGACUUCCCAUACUCAUUGUUGAUAAGCAACAAGGACUGUUUGUAUGCAUCUCUUUCACUUUCAACACAACUCAGAGAUCCCUUCAGUGAGAAGGGGCGCUGUAUGUGGGUGGGAAAACAGCUUCCGAGCGGGGAAAAUUCCUGGCAGUGGUCCCAGUGAGCAAUCAGGAUGAUAAACAGACCGAGACAAAGAUACGGCUCGGCCUUUCCUGUAUUUUUGUAAAUGAAUAAGAAGCUCAGCAUUGCAUGACUCUAUAUAGUAUGGAGCAAUACUUGGAAUGAACUCUGAAUGAACUCAUACUUUGUGCCACACAACUAGGAUAUAUCAAGUCCUGGACUAAGCCUUUGUGUGUGUGUGUGUGUGUGUGUGUGUGUGUGUGUGUGCGCAUGUCACUUUACCACCCAAACACACAUCACAAUUACCAACACAUCUUACCAGCAUCUGUAAAAGUACACUCAUCAACCACAAUAAAUGGUUGAUCUUUGACAUAGAGUUGGAGUUAAUAUUUCCAAAGAAAAAAUAAAUAAAGCAAACAACGCAGGUCCCUUUCGGUAUUGUUUUUCAUGUAUAUAUUUAUAGAAAUGUGUGAUUUAAUCAUGUGUUUGUAUGAGAUCCAAUUGAAAUAGCAUGUAAAUCACAACCGUGUCACAUUCGUCAUUUGCAAUUUGUAGUCACCAUGUACAUUUUUUGAAUGCAAUGUAAUGCAAUAUUUCUAAUAAAUGGGAAAUGUGUGACUCCCUUUCUUUGUACAUUUGCAACAGCAUUAGAGAAAAUGAAGUAUGAAAAAUAGAUAGUAAAAACUGUUGUCCCUCAUUAAUUUUUGUGCUUAAUUUGUUCCUGCAAGUUUUGAAAUUCGAGACAUCAGUAUCACUUUAAAGCGCCUUUGGUGUCCUCAUCAGAAUCAGUCAUCAUGAAAGUGUAGCAGAAUAAUGAAACUUUGAAGCCUUAUCAUAAGUGAUCAAACAUUUACACACACGCUGCUCAGUUGUGAAAUCAUAUUAAAUCAGUUUGUUUUUGACAUGGUUUUAUUGUCCACAACCACUUCUUUGAUAAAAUAUGUCAUUUUGAAUUGUCUUUUUCGAGGAAUAAGCUCAAAAGGAGCUGAAAUAGCAAGGAGAUAUCAGCAAUGUCGUGAUGCAGAAGAAAAAGUAUACCGUGAGAACGAGAGGGGCAGAUGGAAAAAAGACAUAAGAGUUGGGAAAUAAUAAGGGUGUCAGUGAGUUCAGUGAGUGAGAGAGACGGGAGGGCAAAAAGAAAGACAUGGAGAGAGAAACCAGAGCCAGAAAUGGGCCCAGUGCUU